rnacentral:misc_RNA from 1 species
GUAUUGUAUUGCGUUAAACGCGUCAUGCAUUCCACAAAACUUUAUUACAGUGUGUGUGUAAAGACAUAGAACCACGGCGAGAGGACAGAGCCCCUCGGACCACAGAACUACAGAGGGUGCACAGGUGUGAGUGGAUGUGUGAACAGAGCGUGCACAUGCCCCCGUUUGAGGACCAGCAACAACUCGUGUUGACAAUUCGGUAAUGAUCCUUCCGCAGGUUCACCUACGGAAA